rnacentral:rRNA from 1 species
CAGUAGCCGCGGUAAUACGAAGGGUGCAAGCGUUAAUCGGAAUUACUGGGCGUAAAGCGUGCGUAGGCGGUUUGUUUAGUCUGUUGUGAAAUCCCCGGGCUCAACCUGGGAAUGGCAAUGGAUACUGGCAAGCUAGAGUGUGUCAGAGGAUGGUGGAAUUCCCGGUGUAGCGGUGAAAUGCGUAGAGAUCGGGAGGAACAUCAGUGGCGAAGGCGGCCAUCUGGGACAACACUGACGCUGAGGCACGAAAGCGUGGGGAGCAAACAGGAUUAGAUACCCGUGUAGUCCCUGUCUCUUAUAC